rnacentral:rRNA from 1 species
CCUACGGGUGACUGCAGUGGGGAAUAUUGCACAAUGGGGGAAACCCUGAUGCAGCGACGCCGCGUGAGUGAAGAAGUAUCUCGGUACGUAAAGCUCUAUCAGCAGGGAAGAAAAUGACGGUACCUGACUAAGAAGCCCCGGCUAAACACAUGCCAGCAGCCGCGGUAAGACGUAGGGGGCAAGCGUUAUCCGGAUUGACUGGGUGUAAAGGGAGAGUAGACGGCAGCACAAGUCUGGAGUGAAAUCCCGGGGCUUAACCCGGGAACUGCUUUGGAAACUGUGUGGCUGGAGUGCGCGAGGGGUAAGCGGAAUGCGUAGUGUAGCGGUGAAAUGCAUAGAUAUUAGGCGGAACUCCGGUGGCGAAGGCUGCGUACUGGACUGUAACUGACGCUGAGGCUCGAAAGCGUGGGGAGCAAACAGGAUUAGAUACCCCUGUAGUC